AGUUAUGAACUGAAUGCAGAAGAAUUUGUGCGAUUUCAAAUACCCAGAUGAGGAAAUAUAGUUCAUUACUCAAGGUUUUUUGAAGCAAUCCCUGACCUGGUUAUUUCCAGCAUGCCCAGCUACAGAUGAAGACAUUAACUCAGCACUGUUCAGGCCACUAGAAGUGGUUCCCCUACCAUUCUGCAAAUUGAUCAGGCUGCACUUACACAGCGGAAUCUAUUGAACACGAGUCUAUACCAAUCUGUAAUGCUGCUCAGUCUAGGACCAUAUUCAAGCACCCCCACUGCUAUCCGGCUACAUUGACAUAUUUAAAUUGACGUGCUUAGUUCUUAUAAGAAAUGCUGCUUUACAGGAAUGAUUACAUGGUUGUUUAUUGCUUUUUGGUGCAGUAAAUGUCUCGGCCAAAUAUAGUUUGCUUUUUUCUACCGCUCAUAACAAUCUGAAGAAAAUAUCAAACCUACAACCCUCUUAUUGUAAAACUAUCAACAAACAAUAAAGUGUUAAAAGGACA